ensembl:lincRNA
GUUACAUCUCGGCGUUCCAUCAUGGCGGUGUCAAUUUUCUUGUCGAAUCGAGAAAAAUAGGAGUCGAAAAGGGCGAGACGACAAUGUGUGCACCAUCCAUCGGAAGGACAUUAAAUCGAAGGACCCGUCUGCCAGCACCGGUCAUUGGAUGCUGUUAAAGAUCUCAUGCUGGACCCUCCAUGUCAUCUACUUCACCCGGGCAUCCUGCCAAGAGAUACAUUAAAGACGUUCUGUGAGUGACAUCAACGGCCAACAGAGAAACAGCGGAGCUGUGGCUGUACGUGAAGUACGAGCAGAGAGUGGACGGUUUCAUUUUUAGUCAGGAUGUGGGAGCCGGCAUCAACAAGUGUGAGCGUCCUUUUUGGGGUGCGGCCCUCUGCCCCUCACCACUUUGGUUUUGUGGCCCUCCGCCCAAAAAGGUUGGAGACCCCUGCUCUAAAGCUUUCUUUUGAAAGAGGUUUGCUCAAGCUCUGUCAAGUUGGAUGGCGAGCGUCGGUGAAUGGCGAUGUUCAAGUCUUUCCACAGAUUCUCAAAGGGAUUCAAGUCCGGGCUUUGGCUGGGUCACUCAAGGACUUUCACGUUCUUUUUCUGAAGCCGUUCCAGAACAAGUAUGCUUGGGGUCAUUGUCCUGUGGGAAUGUAAAUCUUCACUGCAGUCUCAGGUCUUUUGGCACUCUGAAGCAGGUUCUCCUCAAUAAUUUGCCUGUAUUUGGCUCCAUUAAUUCCCACCUCUAUCCUUACAAGUCUCCCAGUCCCUGCCACUGAAAAGCAUCCCCAUAGCAUGAUGCUGCCACUGUCAUGCUUCAUGGUAGUGAUGUGUUAGAUGGGUGAUGAGCUCUGCUUGGUUUCCGCCAGAUGUAGCACUUUGCAUUCAGGCCAAAUAAUUCAAGUUUAAUCUCAUCAGACCACAGAAUCUUUUGCCUUGUGCUCUCAGAGUCUUUCACGUACAUUUUUGCAAACCCCAGGUGUGCUGUCAUGUACCUUUUUCUCAGGAGUGGCUUCCGUCUGGCCAAUCUCCCAUAAAGCCAAGAUUUGUGAAGGGCUGCAGAGACUGUUGUCCUUCUGGCAGGUCUCUCCCAUCUCAGCCAAGGAACUCUGUAGUUUUGUCAGAGUGGUCAUUAGGUUAUUGGUCAUCUCCCUGACCAAGAUCCUUCUUGCCCGGUUACUCAGUUUGGUUGGAUGGCCAGUUCUACGAAGAGUUGGGCUAGUUCCAUAUUCUUUCCAUUUCCAAUUUUACCUUAGAUUUUAUUCCAUCCACAAACAGGAUUUACAUUGUAACGACCAUGUUUCUGUACCAAUGGCCAAUUAUUAUGGAGGGCUACAUGGCAUAUGAUUUUUUGGAGCAGCUGGCUUAUCACCAAUAAACAUAAACCUUCCACUAGAAAUUGAAAUUAUAUUUGUCUUUGUGACGGAUUAAACUUGGAACCAGGUGUGACAUAGUUGAGCAAAUGACCACGGAUCUUUCAUGCUGUUAAUUAAUUAUUUUGAAUAUCAGCAACUUCUCAAAACUACCCAGAAUGAACACAUGUUUCAAAGCUUGAUGAGGCCCUUAAACAUAAACAGUAUGAAGUAUGCACACAUUUGGACACAUAAGACAAAUCCAGAUAAGGUAUGGAUUUGUAAUAUGAAUUUUCUUGGUGUCAGACGAGAGUCUAACCAGGAGGUUUUACACUUUACUCGACAAGUUCUACUGUGCACAAAUGAAUGGCAAGUAUCCACAGAACUCUGCAGGAAAGGAUCGCAACAGCUUAGCAGGGACAGAUCUGUGUGGACGUGAAAUUCAAGUGAACCUGGCUUUGGAUUAUCAGAAUAAGGAAGGGCCUAGUCUGGGCCUUCCCAAUCCCGCUCCCCCGCAUUCCUUAGAGAUCAGUGGUAUCAGCUCUGGUUUGGAAAGGCAGCCAACGAUUUAUCCCACCGUAUGGUUGCUGCCAAAUCUUUCACAUACCAUUUGUGUCCUGUUCAUUAGUUACUUUGGAGCUUUGAGGAUUUAAGUAAAUGCAUCAAAGCUGUGGACUCGUUCCCAGACUCUUUUCUAGUUGCUCCACCAGAAUAAAUUGUUUUGUAGUGCAGAAAAGAGCA